GAGCGAGAAAGCGGCUUCGGCCGUGAGUACAGCGGCGAACGGGUGAGUAACACGUGGAUAACCUAUCUGGGAGUGGGGGAUAACUCGGGGAAACCUGAGCUAAUACCGCAUUCGCUUUUCGGAUCGCGGUCCGAAUCGAAAAGGUGGCCUCUUCUUGAAAGCUACCGCUCCCAGCGGGGUCCGCGCCUGAUUAGCUUGUUGGUGAGGUAAUGGCUCACCAAGGCGACGAUCAGUAGCCGGCCUGAGAGGGUGAUCGGCCACACUGGAACUGAGACACGGUCCAGACUCCUACGGGAGGCAGCAGUGGGGAAUAUUGCGCAAUGGGGGAAACCCUGACGCAGCAACGCCGCGUGGAGGAUGAAGGCUCUCGGGUCGUAAACUCCUGUCAGGUGGGAAGAAAAGGCUCUGGUCAAUAUCCAGGGCUGCUGACGGUACCACCAGAGGAAGGUCCGGCUAACUCCGUGCCAGCAGCCGCGGUAAUACGGAGGGACCGAACGUAAUUCGGAAUUAUUGGGCGUAAAGGGCGCGUAGGCGGCUUAGAAAGUCAAAGGUGAAAUCCC
rnacentral:rRNA from 1 species